UACGAAGGGGGCUAGCGUUGCUCGGAAUCACUGGGCGUAAAGGGCGCGUAGGCGGCCAUUCAAGUCAGAGGUGAAAGCCCAAGGCUCAACCUUGGAACUGCCUUUGAUACUGUUUGGCUUGAGACCGGUAGAGGUAAGUGGAACUGCGAGUGUAGAGGUGAAAUUCGUAGAUAUUCGCAAGAACACCAGUGGCGAAGGCGGCUUACUGGACCGGUUCUGACGCUGAGGAGCGAAAGCCAGGGGAGCAAACGGG
rnacentral:rRNA from 1 species